AGUGACAACAAUCCCUUUCGCUCAUGGUCCAUUGGCCUAAUGUAGACCCAUGGCCCCCAUUCAAGUACAAGAAGGCUGAGAACUAGAGGAGUCCAUGGGAUAUUGGCCAGCAAGAGAUCCUGAGCAGAGGAGCUGACUAAGCCUUCCCAGAUUCCUGAGCCACAGACUUUGUGAGAUGAUGUGUGCCAUCACAGAGCUGUGUGUCCAAAGUAACCACGACCCAAGUCAGAAGAAAGAACAUUGCCCUGCUCCAGUGAUGUUCGACAUUACCAGCCACUAAGGGAAUGCAAACUAGGACCGUGAUCUAUCACUACAUGCCCAAUCAAAACAGCUCAAAUUCAGAGACUAUGGACUAUGAGAAACAAACUGAAGACUUCAGAGGGGAG